ensembl:misc_RNA 7SK 7SK RNA
GGAUGUGAGGGUAAUCUGUCACCCUAUUGAUCGCAGGGCUGAUUCAGCUGACUAAACAGGUGUCCCCUUCCUCCCUCACUGCUCCAUGUGCUUCCCCCCAGGAAGCUGAGCACUCGGUUGAAGAGGACUGUCUUCCCCCAAUAGAGAUCUACCAGUCUUUGGUCAAGGGUGAAUGAGUAGCUGCAUUCCCCUGCUAGAACCUCCAAAUGAGCUCUCAAGGUCCAUUUAUAGGAGAAUGUAGGGCAGUCAAGCUUCCGAGACUCCAGACACAUCCAAAAGAGGCACUGCAUGUGGCAGUCUGCCUUUCUUU